rnacentral:rRNA from 1 species
UGAAUACGAGACGCUAAGGCGUUGAAGUAGUGUAUAUCAUACUUCCAAGAAAAGCUUGCACUGUCAUAGAUAAAAAACGCCUGUACCAUAACCGACACAGGUGGGUAGGUAGAGUAUACUAAGGGGCGCGAGAUAACUCUCUCUAAGGAACUCGGCAAAAUAACUCCGUAACUUCGGGAGAAGGAGUGCCUUAUUUAUAAGGUUGCAAUAACAAGAUCCAAGCAACUGUUUAUCAAAAACACAGGUCUCCGCUAAGUCGUAAGACGAUGUAUGGGGGCUGACGCCUGCCCAGUGCCAGAAGGUUAAAGAAGUUGGUUAGCAAUAGCGAAGCUGAUAACUGAAGCCCUGGUGAACGGCGGCCGUAACAAUAACGGUCCUAAGGUAGCGAAAUUCCUUGUCGGGUAAGUUCCGACCCGCACGAAAGGCGUAAUGAUUUGGAUACUGUCUCGGAGAGGGGCUCGGUGAAAUAGACUUGUCUGUGAAGAUGCGGACUACCUGCACCAGGACAGAAAGACCCUAUGAAGCUUUACUGUAACUUGAAAUUGAAAUUGGACUUUAUUCGCGCAGUAUAGGUGGGAGGCGUUGAUUGUAAUCUUGCGGGAUUAUUGGAGCCAUCAGUGAGAUACCACCCUUGUAAUGUUAGAUUUCUAACUUUGAAUCAUUAUCUGGUCAAAGAACAGUUUCAGGCGGGCAGUUUGACUGGGGCGGUCGCCUCCUAAACGGUAACGGAGGCGUACAAAGGUUUCCUCUGAACGGUUAGAAAUCGUAUCUAGAGUGUAAAGGCAUAAGGAAGCUUGACUGUGAGACCUACAAGUCGAGCAGGGACGAAAGUCGGUCUUAGUGAUCUGACGGUACUGAGUGGAAAGGCCGUCACUCAACGGAUAAAAGUUACUCUAGGAUAACAGGCUGAUCUCCCCCAAGAGUUCACAUCGACGGGGAGGUUUGGCACCUGGAUGUCGGCUCAUCGCAUCCUGGGGCGGUAGUACGUCCCAAGGGUUGGGCUGUUCGCCCAUGAAAGCGGUACGCGAGCUGGGUUCAGAACGUCGUGAGACAGUUCGGUCCAUAUCCGGUGUAGGCGUUAGAAUAUUGAGAGGAGCCUUCUUUAGUACGAGAGGACCGAGAAGGACAUACCUCUGGUGUACCAGUUAUCGUGCCAACGGUAAACGCUGGGUAGCUAUGUAUGGAGUGGAUAACCGCUGAAAGCAUCUAAGUGGGAAGCCCACCUCAAGAUAAG